rnacentral:rRNA from 1 species
AUGCUGACACCGCGUUCCAUGCUCCUUCAGACAUGGAGUCCAGGCGCGCACGGCUCCGUCGCCCUGCGUGCUCCAUUGGAGGAGCCCCCGCCCCGCGCGUGGCCGCCUUGGAGUUGGAGCGCUUCCUGCCCCACGCCCCUUGUCUGGUCUGGCGGCGGGUUCCUCCUGGCCGCGAUGAUGCCCGAGGCCGGCCGCUACACCCACAAGAAGGAUGAUGGCAUCUGCAACAGCAAAUGCUGCUGCAAAGAUAUUAGUGUGGUGGUCAUUGUGUGCAUGCAAUUAACCAGGACGACGAGUGCGGCGAUGAGUCCGACCAGGGCGCGCUAG